CUGGGUCAUGUAGCCAGAACUCUGGCUCACAGUGUGUUUUAUUUUAUUUCUUAGUAUGUUUUGUCCUUUUGAGUCAGGGUCUCGCUAUGCAGCUCAGGCUGGCCUUGAGCUCACUCUGUAGUCCAGGCUGGUCUCAAACUUGCAAGGAUCCUCCUGCCUCGGCCUCCCGAGAGCUGGGAUGACAUCCCACAAGACAGACACCGCUUCCCUUCUGGCCUGUUCUUUUCCAUCUCUGUUUUCAGAAAUGACAGCAGGAUCGGAAAUGGCGCUCAGGAGGGGUGACCAGCCUGCACCCCAGAAGGCCAGGCCAGGCUGGCACCGCCCCGCCCCCAGCAGGAGAGGCCCUGGGCAGGUCGGAGGGAAGAGCGCGGCUUUCCCUCAUCAGAAAGGUGGCUGUGAUGGCAGGAGCUGUGCAGCCAUUAUGGACCACAAGAUGGAAGCCAGGUGACUGAGGAGGCGAAGCCAGAAGACGGAAGAAGUGUGGUUCUCCCACGACAGUGGAGCCUCCAUUGCACCUGGACGGUGCUAGAAUGCGAGGCGUGGGAGCAAUGAGCUUUGAGCCUUGAUUGACAGUUUCUUGUAUCUCAAAUAAACCGGUUUAGGGGCUGGGGAUUUAGCUCAGCGGCGUAACCACCUGCCUUGCAAGCAGGCGGUCGUGAGUUCGAUCCCCGGUACCGAUAAAAAUAAGUAAAUAAACGGGUUUGACUUCUGUCAGGCCCGCAUUGCAAA